rnacentral:rRNA from 1 species
GUCCACGCCCUAAACGAUGACGACUGGAUGUCGGAGGGGUCUGCCUUUCUGUGUCGUAGCUAACGCGUUAAGUCGUCCGCCUGGGGAGUACGGCCGCAAGGUUGAAACUCAAAGUAAUUGACGGGGACCCGCACAAGCGGUGGAGCAUGUGGUUCAAUUCGAUGCAACGCGAAGAACCUUACCUGGCCUUUACAUCCGCGGAACUUGGCAGAAAUGCCUUGGUGCCUUCGGGAAUCGCGAGACAGGUGCUGCAUGGCUGUCGU